GGCGGGCGUCGCCAAGUGGUAAGGCAAAGGACUGUGACUCCUUUACUCGCGGGUUCGAUUCCCGUCGUUCGCCC
rnacentral:tRNA from 1 species